AUUGUUUAUUCUAUUUCAGAUAUUGUUGCUAAACGAUUUACAGUCGAUAAUCUUUCGAAAGCAGAAAAACUCAGUGUCAAACAAAGAAUACGCGAAUUAUUUGAGAUAUGAUUGAAAUUUGCAAAGAAAGUAAAAAUCAAACUAGUUUCAUUCUAAGUUAUUGUAUAUAAUUUUAAAAUUUUGGAAUAGAAGUGAUGCAAUGUUUAUUUA
rnacentral:lncRNA from 1 species